GAUGAACGCUAGCGGCAGGCUUAACACAUGCAAGUCGAGGGGUAUAGGAAGCUUGCUUCCUAGAGACCGGCGCACGGGUGCGUAACGCGUAUGCAAUCUACCUUUUACAGAGGGAUAGCCCAGAGAAAUUUGGAUUAAUACCUCAUAGUAUCUUUGCCUGGCAUCAGGUGAUUAUUAAAGUUCCAACGGUAAAAGAUGAGCAUGCGUCCUAUUAGCUAGAUGGUAAGGUAACGGCUUACCAUGGCGACGAUAGGUAGGGGUCCUGAGAGGGAGAUCCCCCACACUGGUACUGAGACACGGACCAGACUCCUACGGGAGGCAGCAGUGAGGAAUAUUGGACAAUGGGCGCAAGCCUGAUCCAGCCAUGCCGCGUGCAGGAAGAAGCAUCUAUGGUGUGUAAACUGCUUUUGUACGGGAAGAAACACUCCUACGUGUAGGAGCUUGACGGUACCGUAAGAAUAAGGAUCGGCUAACUCCGUGCCAGCAGCCGCAGUAACAC
rnacentral:rRNA from 1 species